rnacentral:rRNA from 1 species
GCCUACGGGGGGCAGCAGUAGGGAAUCUUCCACAAUGGGCGAAAGCCUGAUGGAGCAACGCCGCGUGGGUGAAGAAGGUCUUCCGAUCGUAAAACCCUGUUGUUAGAGAAGAAAGUGCGUGAGAGUAACUGUUCACGUUUCGACGGUAUCUAACCAGAAAGCCACGGCUAACUACGUGCCAGCAGCCGCGGUAAUACGUAGGUGGCAAGCGUUAUCCGGAUUUAUUGGGCGUAAAGGGAACGCAGGCGGUCUUUUAAGUCUGAUGUGAAAGCCUUCGGCUUAACCGGAGUAGUGCAUUGGAAACU